rnacentral:misc_RNA from 1 species
AACUAAAAAACCUAUGUAGUUGGCAGAUAAGAUUGCCAUGGAAAUCCAAAGAAAGAUCAGCUUAAAGGAAAAUAACUAGUGUACACUCUCUCAUAUAGCAUUCUAUUUUCGAGAUUUACAGGUUAAAUUAUUUUUUAAUGAUUUAGAUGAUGAGCCCGAAACGUUUUUUCUUCAACCGUUGGUGGAAUUUAUCUUUAAAAUGUCAUAAAUCAAUUAUUUUAUGAAUUGAAGGAGAAGAACAAGUCUAUUGUUGAUAGUUGAGUAAAUUCUCAAGUUUCCUUCCUCUUGAUUUCAAUUUAUUUAUUCAACUAAUUGACAUCUGAAUCUAUUGGUACAUAUAUAUACAAGAAAUAAUCCAAUUUAAAAGUGUGUUCAGUGACAUGUAUGUACGUAUAUAUUUAUAUAUCUGUAUCAGUACUGUCACCUGGUUUGUUAAUGCAGAAAUCGUUUGUCUUCGCCUGUAUGAAUAUUGCAUCCUCUUGACUGGAAAACUGGAAAAAACUGUAGCGGACACGUAUUUCAACCCACGGUUUUUAAAAGCUGAGCUGUGAAGAUGCUUACUAUGAUGAAUGGUAUUGAAGAAUAUUUUAAAAAAUGAAAUUGUUUUGUUGAACUCAAUCUUUAUAGUUCUUUUUUGUCUUAAAUAUUAAAUGCUUAUACAUGU